AUUGAACGCUGGCAGCAUGCCUUACACAUGCAAGUCGAACGGUAACAGGUCUUCGGACGCUGACGAGUGGCGAACGGGUGAGUAAUACAUCGGAACGUGCCCAGUCGUGGGGGAUAACUACUCGAAAGAGUAGCUAAUACCGCAUACGAUCUGAGGAUGAAAGCGGGGGACCUUCGGGCCCCGCGCGAUUGGAGCGGCCGAUGGCAGAUGAGGUAGUUGGUGGGAUAAAAGCUUACCACGCCGACGAUCUGUAGCUGGUCUGAGAGGACGACCAGCCACACUGGGACUGAGACACGGCCCAGACUCCUACGGGAGGCAGCAGUGGGGAAUUUUGGACAAUGGGCGAAAGCCUGAUCCAGCAAUGCCGCGUGCAGGAUGAAGGCCUUCGGGUUGUAAACUGCUUUUGUACGGAACGAAAAAGCUUCUCCUAAUACGAGAGGCCCAUGACGGUACCGUAAGAAUAAGCACCGGCUAACUACGUGCCAGCCGCCGCCGUAACAC
rnacentral:rRNA from 1 species